rnacentral:rRNA from 1 species
AGAGUUUGAUCAUGGCUCAGAUUGAACGCUGGCGGCAGGCCUAACACAUGCAAGUCGAACGGUAACAGGAAGCAGCUUGCUGCUUUGCUGACGAGUGGCGGACGGGUGAGUAAUGUCUGGGAAACUGCCUGAUGGAGGGGGAUAACUACUGGAAACGGUAGCUAAUACCGCAUAACGUCGCAAGACCAAAGAGGGGGACCUUCGGGCCUCUUGCCAUCGGAUGUGCCCAGAUGGGAUUAGCUAGUAGGUGGGGUAAAGGCUCACCUAGGCGACGAUCCCUAGCUGGUCUGAGAGGAUGACCAGCCACACUGGAACUGAGACACGGUCCAGACUCCUACGGGAGGCAGCAGUGGGGGAAUAUUGCACAAUGGGCGCAAGCCUGAUGCAGCCAUGCCGCGUGUAUGAAGAAGGCCUUCGGGUUGUAAAGUACUUUCAGCGGGAGGAAGGGAGUAAAGUUAUACCUUUGCUCAUUGACGUUACCCGCAGAAGAAGCACCGGCUAACUCCGUGCAGCAGCCGCGGUAAUACGGAGGGUGCAAGCGUUAAUCGGAAUUACUGGGCGUAAAGCGCACGCAGGCGGUUUGUUAAGUCAGAUGUGAAAUCCCCGGGCUCAACCUGGGAACUGCAUCUGAUACUGGCAAGCUUGAGUCUCGUAGAGGGGGUAGAAUUCCAGGUGUAGCGGUGAAAUGCGUAGAGAUCUGGAGGAAUACCGGUGGCGAAGGCGGCCCCCUGGACGAAGACUGACGCUCAGGUGCGAAAGCGUGGGGAGCAAACAGGAUUAGAUACCCUGGUAGUCCACGCCGUAAACGAUGUCGACUUGGAGGUUGUGCCCUUGAGGCGUGGCUUCCGGAGCUAACGCGUUAAGUCGACCGCCUGGGGAGUACGGCCGCAAGGUUAAAACUCAAAUGAAUUGACGGGGGCCCGCACAAGCGGUGGAGCAUGUGGUUUAAUUCGAUGCAACGCGAAGAACCUUACCUGGUCUUGACAUCCACGGAAGUUUUCAGAGAUGAGAAUGUGCCUUCGGGAACCGUGAGACAGGUGCUGCAUGGCUGUCGUCAGCUCGUGUUGUGAAAUGUUGGGUUAAGUCCCGCAACGAGCGCAACCCUUAUCCUUUGUUGCCAGCGGUCCGGCCGGGAACUCAAAGGAGACUGCCAGUGAUAAACUGGAGGAAGGUGGGGAUGACGUCAAGUCAUCAUGGCCCUUACGACCAGGGCUACACACGUGCUACAAUGGCGCAUACAAAGAGAAGCGACCUCGCGAGAGCAAGCGGACCUCAUAAAGUGCGUCGUAGUCCGGAUUGGAGUCUGCAACUCGACUCCAUGAAGUCGGAAUCGCUAGUAAUCGUGGAUCAGAAUGCCACGGUGAAUACGUUCCCGGGCCUUGUACACACCGCCCGUCACACCAUGGGAGUGGGUUGCAAAAGAAGUAGGUAGCUUAACCUUCGGGAGGGCGCUUACCACUUUGUGAUUCAUGACUGGGGUGAAGUCGUAACAAGGUAACCGUAGGGGAACCUGCGGUUGGAUCACCU